rnacentral:rRNA from 1 species
GACGGAGGAUGCAAGUGUUAUCCGGAAUCACUGGGUGUAAAGCGUCUGUAGGUGGUUCGAAAAGUCCACUGUUAAAAAUUGAGGCUUAACUUCAAAGAUGCCGUGGAAACUUUCAAACUAGAGUAUGGUAGGGGUAGAGGGAAUUUCCAGUGGAGCGGUGAAAUGCGUAGAUAUUGGAAAGACCACCGAUGGCGAAGGCACUCUACUGGGCCAUUACUGACACUGAGAGACGAAAGCUAGGGGAGCAAAUGGG